rnacentral:hammerhead_ribozyme from 1 species
GUACUGAUGAAGAGCCCCAAAAACUAGGACGAAACGGCUGUCCAGUAC